GAGGGAGGGGGCGCCGCUGCCCCAGUUGUGACCCAGGCAGGACUCAGACUGCAAUUCUCCCAAGUUCUUUGUGACACAAAAGGUAAACAGAAGGCCCGGCUUCUCCCCACCUCCCACUGAUCCCCCUCCCCCAGCCAGCCAGAUGGGCCAGGAGCUGGGGGGAGGCAGGAGGCGGAAAAAAGGGCAGAUUGUGCAAAGGAAAACAAAAGAGACCUAGAGACACCCAGAGACAGGAAACCAGGAGAGACGUGAGAGGAGAUGGAGAGACUUGUGGGGGAGGCGGGGGAGGGGACAGCUGGGGACCCCUCCGCCCUGGGGGCCGCCGCCUCUCCCAGGCCUUGGGAACAGGGGGACGAUGACAGAGUGACCCGCAGGGACGAGGCCCAGAAACCUGAGAGGUGACCGCGGGAGACCCUCACAGCAUGGACUGGAAACCGACGCCCAGCUCUGCGGCUCGGAUGAGGUUGUGCCCCCCUGGAGGGCAGCCGGGGCUGUCUGCUCUGUGUAACCCUGGCCAGAGAGCUGGACUCAAGUCCCAACUCCGCUGCAUGCUAAGUGACCACAGGGGCCGGGACCCUCUCUUGCACCAGCCUUGGCCAGGCUGCCCAACGCCCCGGCUUCUGUUUGAACAAGCCCCGGACGUGCUGGGCGCAUGGAAACCGCAUGACAGCAACUGCCCAGCGCAGUGCCUCCCUCUGGUUGCCUCAUCUUUGAAGUGGAAAUAAAAAUAUCAGAACUCCGAUUCCGGGACGGAGAGGCGAUUUCGUGACUCGGCGUAAAUGAAGUUGUUCUCGAAGGACUUCCUGGCAGGGGCUGGGCGGGAGGGAAAAUCAAGGCCAGGCCCUCCGUCUCUCCCACCCUGUGUACCUCUCGUGCUGCUGGGGGACCACAGGCGUUACCAUGGAGCCCCCCUAAAGCCUCAUUCACAUCUACGGGGGUGGUGGAGGGGUGCCCCCCCCCGACUGUUUCAUUUUAAUUGGAAAUCUUGUAAUUUUAAUUUUGCAGGGUUCUUUUCAGAGUUCGGAGCCAACAAAACUUUUUUUUUUUUUUUAAAGUCUCAAAUAUUUUCCUUGGCCCCGGGCACUGCGCCCACAGAGAGCC